rnacentral:rRNA from 1 species
GAUGAACGCUGGCGGCGUGCCUAAUACAUGCAAGUCGAGCGGUAAGGCCCUUCGGGGUACACGAGCGGCGGACGGCAGAGUAACACGUAGGAACGUACCCCAAAGUGAGGGAUAGCCCACCGAAAGGUGGAUUAAUACCGCAUGUGGUCUUCGGAUUAAAGCAGCAAUGCGCUUUGGGAACGGCCUGCGUAAGAUUAGCUAGUUGGUGAGGUAACGGCUCACCAAGGCGACGAUCUUUAGCUGGUCUGAGAGGAUGAUCAGCCUGACUGGGACUGAGACACGGCCCAGACUCCUACGGGAGGCAGCAGUAGGGAAUUUUCCACAAUGGGCGAAAGCCUGAUGGAGCAACGCCGCGUGCAGGAUGAAGGCCUUCGGGUUGUAAACUGCUUUUGUCUGAGAAGAAUAUGACGGUGGCAGACGAAUAAGGGUCUGCUAACUACGUGCCAGCCGCCGCAGUAA